rnacentral:rRNA from 1 species
GACGAACGCUGGCGGCGUGCCUAAUACAUGCAAGUAGAACGCUGAAGGAGGAGCUUGCUUCUCUGGAUGAGUUGCGAACGGGUGAGUAACGCGUAGGUAACCUGCCUGGUAGCGGGGGAUAACUAUUGGAAACGAUAGCUAAUACCGCAUAAUAGUAGAUGUUGCAUGACAUUUGCUUAAAAGGUGCAAUUGCAUCACUACCAGAUGGACCUGCGUUGUAUUAGCUAGUUGGUGGGGUAACGGCUCACCAAGGCGACGAUACAUAGCCGACCUGAGAGGGUGAUCGGCCACACUGGGACUGGGACACGGCCCAGACUCCUACGGGAGGCAGCAGGAGGGAAUCUUCGGCAAUGGACGGAAGGCUGACCGAGCAACGCCGCGGGAGUGAAGAAGGUUGUCGGAUCGGAAAGCUCUGUUGUAAGAGAAGAACGAGUGUGAGAGUGGAAAGUUCACACUGUGACGGUAUCUUACCAGAAAGGGACGGCUAACUACGUG